CCCGCCGGCCACCGCCGCGUGCCCCACGAGCCGGCCGCCGCCCGCCGCCGGCCGCGCGCCGCGAGGCCUCACCUGCCCCCGGCCCGAGCUCACUGGAGAGAGAGAGAUAGAGGAGCGACGGCGGGAGCGGAGGAGCGCAGGCCGCGGCGGCGGCGCGCGCGCGCUCGAGCGCGGCGACGAGCAGCGGGGUUCGCCGGCGCGGAGCAGAAGCCAUGGCGCGGAGUGGACCUCCAGCGCGGCAGAGACGGCGGCCAUGGCCGGCUCGGGACGGCGCGUCCCUCGUCCCAGAGCCUGUUGGUCCCUUCGUCGAUGCCACCGGCAAAGUUCGCGAUAUAUCCAUUCAGCGCAGCCGCCACCGCUUCCAGACUUCUCCCGUCACCCACUUCCACUCCCAGCUCCUCCUCUCCGUCCAAAUCGUCGCCGCCGCUCGCGGCCGCGGCCACCGCGCGCUGCUACUCCUGCUGCAAGUCGCGUCUUCGCGGGCCAGAGCACCUCGGCGAACCGCCGCAUUGCUGGCCACGUCGCGCGCUCUGGAGCCGUGCAUUCCGCCGCCGGCGCCAUCACCCCCAAAAAUCCUGCUGCCUCUCCACCUACUAAACCUGCACAACCUGUCUAAAUCCCAACGAGAUUCCUGCUUCUCGACUAACUAGAAGACAAAUCGAGGCAGAUCUUCAGCAGAAAGGUCAAAGAGAUGCUCUGGUGGUUGGGGCUGAAGCUCUGAAAGUGACGGCACUGAACCUGCACCCACACAAAGCGACAGCGCUGACAGAGAUGCUGGAGUGGUGCCGCUGAGGUGAAUAAAGGAACAUCUUGGCACCGCAUCAUGCUAAGCUUAUCACCAUUAAGGAAGCCGAAACCCUCAUUUCCACAUCAGAAAUCAGUGAUGCCCAGAAACAACAUUUAUAUUGGCUCAGCCCUGCUAACUUGCACCUUUACCUCGCUUCUUUAGCCAUCAGGAAUUGAAGCUGCCUCCAGUGUUUUGCCAAGCACCCAAAUGCUGCUAUAACCUAUAUGUAGGUUACUAUCACCGAAGAAGCAAUCUAUUAGUAGACUGUAAUAUUAUGCUCUUUCUAUUCCUCACACAUCCAGAAUGCCCAGCGUAGAUAAACUAAUGUAGAGGUUUGAUUCUUUUCAAAAAAUAUGCUUUGCCUUAUAUUUGACCUGCUCUUCCUGUUACCUUUACAGACAAUAAAUCUACUUUGCCAUUCUUA